ensembl:misc_RNA Metazoa_SRP Metazoan signal recognition particle RNA
GCCUGAUACAGUGGCUUGUGUCUGUAUUCCCAGCUACUUGGGAGGCUGAGACAGGAGGAUCACUUGAGCCCAGGAGGCCGAGGCUGCAGUGAGCUGUGUUCACACUACUGUGUUCCAGCCUGGGCAACAGAGUGAGACCCUGUCUCUA